rnacentral:rRNA from 1 species
UACGUAGGGUGCAAGCGUUGUCCGGAAUUAUUGGGCGUAAAGAGCUCGUAGGCGGUUUGUCGCGUCUGCUGUGAAAACCCCGCAGCUCAACUGUGGGGCUUGCAGCUGAUACGGGCAGGCUUGAGUUCGGUAGGGGGAGACUGGAAUUCCUGGUGUAGCGGUGAAAUGCGCAGAUAUCAGGAGGAACACCGGUGGCGAAGGCGGGGUCUCUGGGCAGUAACUGACGCUGAGGAGCGAAAGCGUGGGGAGCGAACAGG